rnacentral:rRNA from 1 species
UACGUAGGGCGCAAGCGUUGUCCGGAAUUAUUGGGCGUAAAGAGCUCGUAGGCGGUGUGUCGCGUCGGCCGUGAAAACCUGCAGCUUAACUGUGGGCUUGCGGUCGAUACGGGCAUCACUGGAGUUCGGCAGGGGAGACUGGAAUUCCUGGUGUAGCGGUGAAAUGCGCAGAUAAUCAGGAGGAACACCGGUGGCGAAGGCGGGUCUCUGGGCCGAUGAUUGACGUGGAGGAGCGAAAGCGUGGGG